UAUAUAUAUGCAUAUAUAUACUGUGUCUGCUUAUACAUAUCUAAAUAUAUGUAUCUCCACAUAUAUGUAUAUUUAGAUAUGUAUACUGAUCUAAAAAGAUGCUUCAGUACACCUUUUCGAGAGAGGACCGCAGAGGAGAGAAAGGCCCUGGACAGAGACUAAAGGAGAGAAGAGGAUGUUUUUGGGGCAGCCACAUGAACUGAUGAGGGGGGCAAAGACACUACCCUCCCCAAAAAAAAUCGACCCCAGCAAACUUCCCCCGUCCUCCUGGGCCACCCCUCCUCGAUGCUGUCCCUUCCCCCUCAGCUACGGUGCUGCUUUCUCAUAUAUGCAAAACAAAUAUCCUUUAUUUUCUUAACCGACAGGGAAGAGAGAAUCUGACAAACGUUCCGGUGGUGACGCUUAUUUCCCAUGGAUUACACGGAUCCUAGAUUUUUUCAAAGAAAAAAAAGUGAUAAAGGGAUGAGGGGCAACGUUUUAAGAAAAAAAAAGCGUCUUUAAAAAAAAAAAAGUUUUUCGACUGGUGUACAGCUUCCCUUCAAGCGAUAUUUUGACAACAAAAAGUCAGCUUUUCAUCCGAUUUUAUUGACAAUCAUGAAUCUGUCAGUUCUUUUGUUCUGAGAUUUUUUUCUUUGGAGGAGACACUGCAACAUAUAUAUUGGGAGCCACUUUUUCGUGGAGGCCUUCUCAUUUGAAACACACUGGUGUUGAUGAUGCUUCUGUGACAAGGAUAUGCACACCCAUACAAACACACACACCUGCACACACACACACACACACACACACACACACACACACACACACACACACAUAUACGUACUGACAAGGGUCAGUAUUGUUUUAGGGUGAAGACUUGAAAGUUCAGGGUAUGACAUCUUUUUUUGGCAGUCGCUUCUGAAAGACAUCCCGAGAAAAGAGAGUAAAAGUGUUGCCGUUUCCCUUGGAGUGUUUGUAUGUAUGUGUAUGUGUGUUUGUGUGUGUGCAUAAAUGUGUAUGAUUGUGUGUGUGUGUGUGUGUGUGUGUGUGUGUGUGUGUGUGUGUGUGUGUGUGUGUGUGUGUGUGUGUGUGUGUGUGUACAUGUGUGCAGAGACUGCUAUUCUGAUCAUUGUCUUGAUAAUCCCUUCCCCUUGCCUAUCCCUUGGCCUAGCCUAACCUAACCAUUUCUUUAAAUUUACUAUAGAGAAGGGGGUUCAGUAUAUUGUGCUAAAGUAUAUAUAGUGAUAGAGGGAGCACCAGACAUUAUUCUGUCGCUAUCAUGACAGUAUGGGGUGGAAAGGAUAGGUCCUAUUUGUCUUUGUUUUGCAUUGACUUAAAGAUUUGCAUUGGAAAUUGCAGGCAUUGCACUACUAUAAAAUUAAUUUUCCACUCUGCAGGCCUCAUGUUCGGCCCAAUCUUAUGAAAUGCUGCGAGUUAGAAUUAGCCGUUAGGAUUUUUAUUGUUGACUGUUUUUGUUCUUCUGGUAGCAGGGUACUUGAGUUGUGAGUGUUGGCUUUCUUGAGCUGUCAGUAGGAUCUAAAUAACCCAGGCCCUCUGUGUUCUUCAUCAUCAUACACUCACAUGUGAAAAGUGUUUCCAUGUGUGUGUGCACGGCGCAACCAGGGGGAAAUAAUGAAUUUAGGUUAAUUACAUCAUUUUUUAAAGUCUGUAUCUUCAUGUAUUGAAAUAACAAAAAUAGACAAUUUUUCAAGGGGGGGGUUGCGUCAUAAGGCCAAUGGCAUGCUUGUAUGUGUGUCACUGAUGGUAGUGAGUCGUCACAGGGUGUGUGUGUGUGUGUGUGUGUGUGUGUGUGUGUGUGUGUUUCAUGUGGAAACUGGAUGCCACUGGCACCACAAAGUCACGUGUAAGUGAAAGUGUGUCUAUUUGUGUGUGAGUGUGUGUGUGUGUGUGUGUGUGGUCAUCAUGGGGACAGCUGAUGCCACUGGCACCACAAAGUCACGUGUUGGUGAAGAUGUGUGUGUGUGUGUGUUUGUGCGUGGCUGGGGUUGUGACCUGCGGAAAUCCUCGUGGAGGACUGGUCUGGCUAGCAGUCGUAGAGCUUGUGCAUCCGUGCCCAGACUUCUCUCUCUAUAGCUGGUGCCUGGAUCCCUCUCCUGCGAUGCCAAGGAGCGAUCAGUGAACUCAGACGAGGUCACAGCAGAAUGGGCGGGAUUUGUACUGAUGUAAAAGAAAAGGAAAAAAACGAAUCCACAUCAGGGCUUCUAACUCCUCUACCAAACCCAAAUCUCAAAGCCAUGAAAAGUGCCUAAGACAUUGCAAGAGUUUGAAUUGUUUUUUUUCUUCUUCUUCUUUCAAAUGAAUUGUUUGGCUUGUUUAUUUGUUUGUUUGUUUUUCUUUGUGAGCGUAUGAGCCUGAACUAGCUCCAAGUUGGCCAUGCAAUGGUGGGAAGGAGAGUAGGCGAUUUUGGGAGGGAGGGAGAGGGAGAGAGAGAGAGAGAGAGAGUGAGAGAGAAAGAGAGAGAGAGAGAGCUCCCUCAGCUCCAUAGUCCCUCAAAUGCACCUUUCAUGCGUGUCCUUCUGAACUGAAGCCACCUUUUGCAGCUAAGUUUGAGAAAGAGAGAGAGAGAAAGAAAGAGAAAAAGAGAGAAGAAAAUAACCGCCCCAGCUAUCGGCAUAACCAACACAUAUCAAUGCUAUAUGCAGAGACUUACUGGUAACAGUACACAGCUAACAGAACAAUACAGAAUAAUACAGAUGAGGACUAAUGUCUGUACACACCGGUCACUUCUAAUUCUGACUUUUCAAUCCGGCUUAGCAGUAGCAAACUUCAAACCAGUUGAGUUGUGAUCUGAACCCAUAUUUGUGAAGAUAAUACACAAAAUGAAUUGUUUUUUUUAAGGGUGCUGAUGUGAAAAUUUUAUCCUGAUAUAUAUAAUAAUGCAUGGUGCUUUCAAAAGAAAAAAAAAUCAUGAGAACUUACGCUCUUAAGGCCACCGUAACGCGAACAUGGGUGCAUGGCAGAUGCUCUUAGUACCCCUCAGAAGCUGCCUGGCCCCAUUCUACAACCCUUCUACCCCCCCAGCCCCCUCCCUCCCCGACUACUGUCUUCCCCCAAUCCAUGGAACAGAAGGCCAGAGAUUCAUAUGGGUUAAAACAGUUUUACCACAUUUCUUAUGGUUUGUAUUCCCUCUCUCUCUUCUACUUUGCACGAAAUUUUAUAUAACACAUUAUGUGCCUUGCCUUUAGUUAAGAACAGUAAUACAUGAUUGAAAGACAAAAUGUACAUUUGUUUCUUUUACUGAUGUAACCAGUAUCGCUGCAAAAAAACAAAAACAACAAAACAAAAAAAAAAAACAAUAACAGUACAAUGCUGCAUGUUUGAUUGCUUGCCAUUAUUCGAUUAGAAUUAACAGAUUAAUUAAAAAGAAGUCAACAAAUGGAUUCUGUUCACUCCUGACUUCCCCAGAACAGUGACUAUCUUUCCUGUUAUUCGCAUGGAAUCAAUGCUACAUUUUUUCUUUCUGUCAUUCUUUCUUUCUUUAACUUGUUUGAGUUGAUGGGUUUGUGUUCUGUUUUCUGUUUGUGUUUUCGUCUCUCGUCGUCGGUGUUCUGUGGCUUCCCGCUCACUCUGCCCCCCCCCCCCCCCCCCAUCCUGCUUAAGCUUAUGCAAUGUGAAAUAUGCAAUUCCAGUACUCAUCUCUCCACUUUUGGCAGUGUUUUCCCAGAUCAGUUUUUCUAGCAAGAGGAGUUUGAAUGUAUGCAACAUAUAGGAGAGGAGAGGAGAGGAGGGGAGAGCAGUGUGGUCUGUGAUCCAUACCCACGCGACAGAGAGUGAUCCGAGCAGAAGAGUCAAUCGAGCUGUUGCGCUUUUGUUUUGCACCAACGUAGUUUAGUUUUUUUGCUCCUUUGGAGACAAGGAUUAAAGCGAAUGAGAGCACAGACAAGCAUGAUUUACGUCACUGGGAUGUGAAGAAAGUAUUUGCACAGAAUAGGAUUGUAAAGUACUGAGCUAGGCUUUCUAGUUUUAAGGAGCACGAUCAGGUCUCUUUUAUUCACUUGGAUUGCAAAGUUUUUGGAUCUGAGCUGUUUGUAGUCGACACAGGAAUGGCAGUCUCAGCACUUUUAUAAACUGUCUUCAGUGCAUUUGAAAUUGAAAUCCAACCUUUUUUGCUAUACACGUUGAAAGCCAUGUGUUUAAAUUCUAGCUAGAACUAUCUUCGGAUCAGAGAUUAGAUAACUUUUGUACUCACGCCGAUAAAGCAGAGUUUAAAUACUGAAGAACUGUGGAAACAACUAUGACUGGAAUAGCAAACUUUUUUCCAUGAGAAAUUCUUACGUAGAAUGUACACUGUCUUGUUGCAUUCGUCAAUGUGCUGGGUGCAGUGCUUCAGAAUUUGUGUGUGCUUGUACGUGUGUGUCUUAAGAUGUGUGAGGUUUAAUGUACGUAUGAAUGCAUGUGUGUGUACUGUGAUUUAUAGUUCUCUGCGCAAGUUGAUGACGGAGAGAAAAAAUAGAGAGGGGAAGAGGAAGAAUGUGUUCAGGUGGAUGAGAACGAACUGCUUGAUCUGAUCUACCACAGCACUUGGCUGUCUUUCUCAGAUUGUAAAUACGGAUGCAAAUGUGCCACACACACGGGGGAUAGUGAACAUUGGAUGGACUUUUACAAGAAAGAGAGAGAGAGAGAGAGAGAAAGAAAACGCUAACUUCAUUUGACUCAAAGGUUUCAAUUUGUUUUUCUUUAGACACGUCAAUGGAGCACUAAUAACCUGUGUGCACGAGCGUAUAGUAAAGGCUGUUGCACAAGAAUUGUUGAAAAAUGCAAUAAAUUGCAUUGUCCAUCUCAAACCUCCCCAAGUAUAUUAGGUUAGGUCCCUCAGACACAUAAAACUGAAUAGUUCUCACUCCCCUACAUUUGUGUUUUUGUUGUCAUUACUGAAGUAUUGGUUACUUUGAGGCUCUUCUUAUAGUUGUAGUGCAGAGACGACAGUAACAACAACAACAACAACAACAGAAAAAACUCUAAGCGACAGCACCAUGCGUAUUCAGGGUCCUGAGACCUUCACUUGUUUUUGUUUUUUUCUUCUUUUUUCAAGCAGAAAUAUCAUACCUUUUGAAAGAGCUCCAUAACACGGUCUACCAUAGACUUAGCUUUUUAUGACAUGUAGAGUAUUAAUUUGUGAGUUUGUACAUGCAUAGAUUUAUUUUAGGUCCAGAAUUUGGCCCUCACAGUUCACCCCAGUACAAUACCUGUGGCUUUCCUUAUUCCCAUACCUAUGGCGAAUAAAAGCAGAGCUCUUGUAUUCUAGACGUAACAAGUCAGGAAAGCCCAAUCAUAGCCACCGUGAUGAUUUUUUAAAACCUGUUUAAAGAAAUGAUUUUUUUAAAACACAAGAUUUUUCUGUAGUUUAUUUCCUUUUUUUAAAUUAGUGAUGAGGUCAUAAUUUAUAAUUUCUUACUUAGUAAUGUAAUGGGAGUAUAUUGAAUAAGAGAAGAUAAUGUGUUUUUUUUUCCUGCGGGGUCAAGAGGCCAUGUGAUAGUUUGUUAUGCAGUGUACAGUAUUGUUUCUGCAAUGGAUAUUGCAACGCUGGUAGCUAUUAAGAUUAAGAACAAGAGGAAUUGUUUACAUGCUCGUCUUAAGAUCUUGGCAGUGACGGUUUAUGUGCCCUAGUACGGGCCCAGGUUGAAGUGGAGUGCUGUAGCCAAAGGCAUUCCAUCAGAUUCAUACGACUCACACGUCUAGCAAGAUGCUGCCAUCAUUCAGCAAUUUUGUAUUUUUUAAAACAGGACAGGUGAUGGGAUGAGAGUCUGCCCCCCCACACGGGGGUCAAAGUGUACAGUGGGGGUCUACUUCCUGCUAUCAUGUUCACCAAGGCUGGGCUGUCAUUGCACAAAAGAUCCAUGUUUAUAUUUGACAUUGCCAUCGGGCAUUCGAUUCGUAACUUGAAUUUGAGUGACUGCUGUAAAACUAAUAGCAAAAUGACCAAAUAUUUUCAGCGUAUAUGUAAAUUCAUGACUUCCCAGAGUCUAGGCCUGUCCUCUGUGGACUCUUGGCCUGCCAAUCAUUCCAGCAGUCUUUGCAUGUGUGUAUCUGUACCGUGAAACACACCUGAACACAAGAUCUUACAUCAACCAGCCAGCGACCGCACGGUCGCACACAGCCCCCCCCCC
ensembl:lncRNA